rnacentral:rRNA from 1 species
GCGAGUGAAGCGGCAACAGCUCAAAUUUGAAAUCUGGCUCCCUAGGGGGUCCGAGUUGUAAUUUGCAGAGGAUGCUUUUGGCGAGGCGCCGGCCGAGUGCCCUGGAAUGGGACGCCGUAGAGGGUGAGAGCCCCGUACGGCCGGACGUCGAGCCUCUGUAAAGCUCCCUCGACGAGUCGAGUAGUUUGGGAAUGCUGCUCUAAACGGGAGGUAAACCCCUUCUAAAGCUAAAUACCGGCCAGAGACCGAUAGCGCACAAGUAGAGUGAUCGAAAGAUGAAAAGCACUUUGAAAAGAGAGUUAAACAGCACGUGAAAUUGUUGAAAGGGAAGCGCUUGUGGCCAGACUUGCGCCCGGCGGCUCAGCCGUCCCUCGUGGGCGGUGCACUCCGCCGGGCUCAGGCCAGCAUCAGCUCGCUGCUGGGGAGAAAGGCGGUGGGAACGUGGCUCUUCGGAGUGUUAUAGCCCGCCGCCAUGCCCUCCAGCGGGCUGAGGUUCGCGCCUUAGGGCAAGGAUGCUGGCGUAAUGGCCAUCAGCGACCCGUCUUGAAACACGGACCAAGGAGUCGUCCUAGCAUGCGAGUGUUCGGGUGCCAAACCCCUACGCGAAAUGAAAGUGAACGGAGGUGAGAGCUUCGGCGCAUCAUCGACCGAUCCUGAUGUUUUCGGAUGGAUUUGAGUAGGAGCAUGCUGGGCCGGACCCGAAAGAAGGUGAACUAUGCUUGGAUAGGGCAAAGCCAGAGGAAACUCUGGUGGAGGCUCGCAGCGGUUCUGACGUGCAAAUCGAUCGUCAAAUCUGAG